GAAUUGCGAUAAGUAAUGUGAAUUGCAGAAUUCAGUGAAUCAUCGAAUCUUUGAACGCACCUUGCACUCUUUGGUAUUCCGAAGAGUACGCCUGUUCGAGUGUCGUGAAACUCUCAAUCAGGAUGGGCUUUAUUGUCUGUCUUUUGAUUGGAUGUGGACUCUGCUGUGUAACAACGGCUGGUCUUAAAGGCAUUAGCUGAAUCUUGAAUUAUGGGACUGGUUUGACUCGGCGUGAUAAUUAUCUACCGUUGAGGACAUCUUUCGGGAUGGCCAGACUCUUUUCUCGAAUCGCUUUCUAAUCUGGUUAUUCGCGUAACCACUUUUCAACCUUUGACCUCGAAUCAGGUGGGACUACCCGCUGAACUUAAGCAUAUCAAUAAGCGGAGGAAAAGAAACUAACAAGGAUUCCCCUAGU
rnacentral:rRNA from 1 species